CUUAUAAUGAUACAGUGGUAUGAUUGUCGCUUCGGGUAUGCCUUUGGUUGAAAAAGCCAGAAAUGUGACAGGUCUCGGGUUCGAAUCCCGAUUGAGC